rnacentral:tRNA from 1 species
GCAGUGAUGGUUCAGUGGUAGAAUUCUUGCCUUCCAUGCAGGAGACCCAGGUUCAAUUCCCAGUCAAUGCA